CCUACGGGAGGCAGCAGUGAGGAAUAUUGGUCAAUGGGCGCGAGCCUGAACCAGCCAAGUCGCGUGAGGGAUGACGGUCCUACGGAUUGUAAACCUCUUUUGUCGGGGAGCAAGCGUGCGUUCGUGAACGCGCGUCGAGAGUACCCGGAGAAAAAGCAUCGGCUAACUCCGUGCCAGCAGCCGCGGUAAUACGGAGGAUGCGUGCGUUUUCCGGAUUUAUUGGGUUUAAGGGGUGCGUAGGUGGGAGGCAAAGUCAGUGGGAAAAUUGCAGUGCUCAACGCCGGAGAGCCGUUGAGACUGGCGUUCUUGAGGGGACGAGAGGUAUGCGGAAUGCGUGGUGUAGCGGUGAAAUGCAUAGAGAUCACGAAGAACUCCGAUUGCGAAGGCAGCAUACCAGCGCCCUACUGACGCUGAGGCACGAAAGCGUGGGUAUCGAACAGGAUUAGAUACCCCGGUAGUC
rnacentral:rRNA from 1 species